AAUUCCCCAAACGAGCGCAACCCUUAUCCUUAGUUGCCAUCAUUUAGUUGGGCACUCAAGGGAGACUGCCGGGGUAACCCGGAGGAAGGUGGGGAUGACGUCAAGUCCUCAUGGCCCUUAUGUCCUGGGCUACACACGUGCUACAAUGGUCGGUACAAAGCGCUGCGAAGCCGCAAGGUGGAGCGAAUCGCAAAAAGCCGGCCUCAGUACGGAUUGCACUCUGCAACUCGAGUGCAUGAAGUCGGAAUUGCUAGUAAUCGUCGAUCAGCAGGCGACGGUGAAUACGUUCCCGGGCCUUGUACACACCGCCCGUCACACCAUGGGAGUCGAGUGCUCCAGAAGUGGCCACGCUAACCCGCAAGGGAGGCAGGUCCCCAAGGAGUGUUUGGUAACUGGGGUGAAGUCGUAACAAGGUAAA
rnacentral:rRNA from 1 species